UGCCCCAUGGCUGAGUUGGUUACAGCGUCCGACUGUUAUUACGACAUCGGAAGGUCGUGAGUUCGAGCCUCACUGGGGCAG
rnacentral:tRNA from 1 species